rnacentral:rRNA from 1 species
CUUGUAGGCGGUCUGAUAAGUCCUGUGUGAAAUCCCUUGGCUUAACCAAGGAACUGCGCCGGAUACUGUCGGACUAGAGGCCGGGAGAGGGAAGCGGAAUUCCCAGUGUAGCGGUGAAAUGCGUAGAUAUUGGGAGGAACACCGGUGGCGAAGGCGGCUUCCUGGACCGGUUCUGACGCUGCAGAGCGAAAGCUAGGGUAGCAAACA